UCAGAAGGCAACAGGAAGUGGACUAACUGCCUCACCAGGCCUAGCUUGACCUAUGUGAACUCAAAGUCGGCCCCCACAGUGACGCACUUCCUCCAACAAGGCCGCACCUCCUAACAGUGCCACGCCCUCCGGGGGCCAUUUUCUUUCAGACCACCACGCCAGUUCUCCAGCGCUCUCUCUGGUGAAUCCAUCUCCUCCUCCCUUGUCAGUGUAUUCUCUACCCGUUCUGACUUCCAGACUCACUUCUGCGGCUGCUGCCCCUGCCUGGUCUCCAAUGGAUGUGACCUAGGCACUCAGAAAAACUCAGGCUUCAGGACAGUCACCUGUCUGCGUUUCAAUGUCUUCAUCCCACGGGAGUGUUGCUGGAGAUGAACUCCUCGACCAGAAAGUGCCGAGUCGGAGGUUUUGCUGCUUCUAAGAGUGCCGGCGCCCUAUGUGCAUCUGUAGAGGCUGGGUUCCAGGAGCCACUCUGAGACCCAAACCCUCAGGCGUUCAGUCCCACAUAUAAAGUAUAUGCUUGUCUAAAACCUC